AUCAAGUCACUUCCUCUGGGCUGCAAAGGAGCUCUUCACAGUCAGCAGAGUAGCUGUGUGCACUGUCCUGGGACAGCAGAGUUGCUGACACGUGGCUUGUUUGGAAAGCCUGUUCUCUGGCACCCUCAGAACGUGGCCUAGGCAGUGAAAAGACAGAAGACCCUGACUGCUGUUAAACUGAACCAGUUGUGUACUGCAGAGACUUAAAGACUGAAGAAAGUUGUAUAAAUAUUUUGUAUAGUUUCCCAGAUCCUAAUAUAAAUACAUCCCCCUCC